rnacentral:rRNA from 1 species
CACGUAGGCACCAAGCGUUGUCCGGAUUUAUUGGGCGUAAAGAGCUCGUAGGCGGUUCGGUAAGUCGGGUGUGAAAACUCUGGGCUCAACCCAGAGCCGCCACCCGAUACUGCUGUGACUCGAGUGCGGUAGGGGAGCGGGGAAUUCCUGGUGUAGCGGUGAAAUGCGCAGAUAUCAGGAGGAACACCAGUGGCGAAGGCGCCGCUCUGGGCCGUGACUGACACUGAGGGACGAAAGCUAGGGGAGCGAAUGGG